GACGAACGCUGGCGGCGUGCUUAACACAUGCAAGUCGAACGGUAAGGCCCUUCGGGGUACACGAGUGGCGAACGGGUGAGUAACACGUGGGUGAUCUGCCCUGCACUUCGGGAUAAGCCUGGGAAACUGGGUCUAAUACCGGAUAGGACCACUGCCUGCAUGGGUGGUGGUGGAAAGCUUUUGCGGUGUGGGAUGGGCCCGCGGCCUCUCAGCUUGUUGGUGGGGUGAUGGCCUACCAAGGCGUCGACGGGUAGCCGGCCUGAGUGGGUGACCGGCCACACUGGGACUGAGAUACGGCCCAGACUCCUACGGGAGGCAGCAGUGGGGAAUAUUGCACAAUGGGCGCAAGCCUGAUGCAGCGACGCCGCGUGAGGGAUGACGGCCUUCGGGUUGUAAACCUCUUUCAGCACCGACGAAGCGCAAGUGACGGUAGGUGCAGAAGAAGGACCGGCCAACUACGUGCCAGCCGCCGCGGUAA
rnacentral:rRNA from 1 species